AUCACCCACUACUUGUUUGCCUUUGUUUCGUUUUCCUUUCCCUUUAGGCGGUUGGGUUUCGGGCACAAUCUCCACAUCGUCUUCGGGUUCGGAUUGGGUCGAGAUCGGUUGAGGUUGAACGGGUGGGAAGUUCCAAGCACCCCGCAUCAUCAUUUGUUGAAGAGCUUGAUUUUGGGAGAUUUGAGUGAAUUGGUUUGGCGAGUGUUGGAAUGAAGCAAACGCGUUCGAUGAAUAUUGGGAGAAUUGGUUCGGUUCUAGCGUUGGAUAAUAU